GUGUAGCAUGAAAGGAGAGAAGGUUAGCAUUUACUUUGCUAAAAAUGGAAAGAUUCUAUUGAUCUUUACAACACAUGUGAUUAAGACUUUGCCAUUAGUAUACCCUGUAGCAUUUAACUAUCAUUGGUU
ensembl:snRNA